CAGCAGCCACGGGAAUACGUAGGUGGCAAGCGUUGUCCGGAAUUAUUGGGCGUAAAGCGCGCGCAGGUGGUUUAAUAAGUCUGAUGUGAAAGCCCACGGCUCAACCGUGGAGGGUCAUUGGAAACUGUUAAACUUGAGUGCAGGAGAGAAAAGUGGAAUUCCUAGUGUAGCGGUGAAACGCGUAGAGAUUAGGAGGAACACCAGUGGCGAAGGCGGCUUUUUGGCCUGUAACUGACACUGAGGCGCGAAAGCGUGGGGAGCAAACAGGAUUAGAUACCCGCGUAGUCCCUGUCUCUUAUAA
rnacentral:rRNA from 1 species